AAUAUUGCGCAAUGGAGGAAACUCUUACGCAGCGACGCCGCGUGAGCGAUGAAGGUCUGCGGAUCGUAAAGCUCUGUCCUUGGGGAAGAAGAUCGAAAGAUUUGACGGUACCCGAGGAGGAAGGCCCGUCUAACUACGUGCCAGCAGCCGCGGUAAUACGUAGGGGGCAAGCGUUGUCCGGAAUUAUUGGGCGUAAAGGGUGCGUAGGCGGCUUUUUAAGUCAGAUGUGAAAGACCACGGCUUAACCGUGGGGUUGCAUUUGAAACUGGAAGGCUUGAGUAUCGGAGAGGGUAGUGGAAUCCCAAGUGUAGCGGUGAAAUGCGUAGAUAUUGGGAGGAACACCAGUGGCGAAGGCGACUCCCUGGCUUGCAACUGACGCUGAGGCGCGAAAGCGUGGGUAGCGAACA
rnacentral:rRNA from 1 species